rnacentral:rRNA from 1 species
GUUGAUCCUGCUGGAGGACAUCGCUAUCAGAUUACGACUAAGACAUGCAAGUCUAACGAGGGGUUUAUACCCUUCGUGGCAUAAGGCUCAGUAACACGUAGUCAACCUACCCUAUAGACAGGGAUAACCUCGGGAAACUGAGGACAAUACCUGAUAGGUUAAAGUGUUUGGAAUAACCUUUAAUUAAAACGAGCUCUUGAAUUGUAGAGAGUUUUGCUUUAGGAUGGGACUGCGGCUGAUUAGGCUGUUGGUGGGGUAAUGGCCCACCAAACCUGUGAUCAGUAAAGGCUAUGAUAGUAGGAGCCUUGAGAAGGGCACUGAGACAAGGGCCCUAGCCCUAUGGGGUGCAGCAGUUACGAAAAUUCCACAAUGCGCGAAAGCGUGAUGGAGGUAGUCUGAGUGAUUUCCGAAAGGAUUUCUUUUUACUAGUCUGAAUAGCUGGUAGAAUAAGGGGUGGGUAAAUCUCGUGCCAGCCGCCGCGGUAAUACGAGUAGCCCGAGUGAUGUCCACGAAUAUUGAGUCUAAAACGCCCGUAGCUGGUUUGAAAAGUUUCUUGUGAAAUCUCCUAGCUUAACUAGGAGUAUUGCAGGAAAAACUUUCAGGCUAGGGAGUGGGGGACGCCAAGAGUACUCUAGGGGUAGAGGUUAAAUUCUGUAAUCCUUAGAGGACUUCCAGUGGCGAAAGCGCUUGGCGAAAACACAUCCGACAGUGAGGGGCGAAGGCUAGGGUAGCAAACGGGAUUAGAUACCCCGGUAGUCCUAGCAGUAAAUGAUGCUGACUUGGCGUUGCAACGGCUCCGAGCUUUUGCAGUGUCGAAGAGAAGUCGAUAAGUCAGCUACUUGGGGAGUACGGUCGCAAGAUUGAAACUUAAAGGAAUUGGCGGGGGAGCACUUACAAGAAGUGGAUGCUGCGGUUCAAUUGGAUUCAACGCCGGGAAUCUCACCAGGAGAGACGGCAGGAUGACAGUCAGGCUAAAGACCUUACUUGACGAGCCGAGAGGUGUUGCAUGGCCAGCGUCAGCUCGUGCUGUGAGGUGUCAGCUUAAGUGCUGCAACGAGCGAGAUCUCUGUCCAUUGUUGCUAUUCUAUCAUGCGUGGUAGAAGCACUCUAUGGAGACUGCUCGCGUGAAGUGAGAGGAAGGAAGAGGCGACGCUAGGUCAGUAUGGCCCGAAUCUCCUGGGCCACACGUGGCAUACAAAGGAUAAGACAAUGAGUUCCGACGCCGAAAGGCGAAGGUAAUCUCCCAAACUUAUUCUAAGUCCGGAUUGAGGGCUGAAACUCGUCCUCAUGAAGAUGGAAUUUCUAGUAAUCGCGUGUCAACAUCGCGCGGUGAAUAUGUCCCCGCUCCUUGCACACACCGCCUGUCAAGCCAUCCAAGCUAGGUUUUGGCGAGGCUUAGACUACUAAAGUCUGAUUCGAACCAGGACUUGGUAAGGAGGGUU